UUAUACAAAAUAUACAAAUAAAUUUUUUUAUUUUAUAGUUAGAUUUAUUUUUUGUUAAGUUAGAUGUUUAUAAAUAAGGUGAAAUUUUUUAUAAAAAUUAAAUUUUUAAAUAAAUUAGUUGAAGCUAUUAGAUUUAAAUUAUAAACUAGGAUUAGAUACCCUAUUAUUUUAAAAUUAAAAAUUUAUGAUUAGGUAGUAAUAGUUAUGAUCUUGAAACUUAAAAAAUUUGGCGGUAUUUUAAUCUAAUUAGAGGAAUCUGUUCCAUAAUCGAUAGUCCACGAUAAAUUUUACAUAAUUUGAUUUAGUUUGUAUAUCGUCGUUAUAAGAAAAUUUUAUAAGGAUAUUAAUUUUCUAAAAUUUGCAUUUGAAUUUAUUUCAGAUCAAGGUGCAGCUUAUAAUUAUGAGGAAAUGGAUUACAAUAAAUUUAUUUAUAUGAAUAAUAAAGUGAAUAUUUUAUUUGAAGGUGGAUUUAAUAGUAAAUUAAAUUAUAUAAUUUGAUUGAUUUUAGCUCUAAAAUAUGCACAUAUCGCCCGUCGCUCUCUUUCGUUAAAAAGAGAUAAGUCGUAACAAAGUAGAUGUACUGGAAAGUGUAUCUAGAAUGAAUA
rnacentral:rRNA from 1 species